rnacentral:rRNA from 1 species
AUUGAACGCUGGCGGCAGGCCUAACACAUGCAAGUCGAGCGGAUGAAGGUAGCUUGCUCCUGGAUUCAGCGGCGGACGGGUGAGUAAUUCCUAGGAAUCUGCCUUGUAUUUGGGGAUAACGUCCCGAAACGGGCGCUAAUAUCGCAUCCGUCCUGAGGUUGAAACUUGGGGAUCUUCGGACCUCACGCUAUUUGCUGAGCCUAGGUCGGAUUCGCUAGUUGGUGGGGUAAAGGCCUACCAAGGCGACGAUCCGUAACUGGUCUGAGAGGAUGAUCAGUCACACUGGAACUGAGACACGGUCCAGACUCCUACGGGAGGCAGCAGUGGGGAAUAUUGGACAAGGGGCGAAAGCCUGAUCCAGCCAUGCCGCGUGUGUGAAGAAGGUCUUCGGAUUGUAAAGCACUUUAAGUGGGGAGGAAGGGCAGUAAGUUAAUACCUUGAUGUUUUGACGGUACCAACAGAAUAAGCACCGGCUAACUUCGUG